rnacentral:rRNA from 1 species
UACAGAGGUCUCAAGCGUUGUCCGGAAUCAUUGGGCGUAAAGAGCGUGUAGGCGGUCCGGUAAGUCCGCUGUGAAAGUCGGGGGCUCAACCCUCGAAUGCCGGUGGAUACUGUCGGGCUAGAGUGCGGAAGAGGCGAGUGGAAUCCUGGUGUAGCGGUGAAAUGCGCAGAUAUCAGGAGGAACACCUAUUGCGAAGGCAGCUCGCUGGGACGUAACUGACGCUGAGACGCGAAAGCUAGGGGAGCAAACAGG